GUGGGAUUUAUCAAUGAUUAUGUACCCAGUUGUGAAUGUGGCCUCAUACAUAGAGGGCUUUUAAAAAUACACAGCAGAAAAAUAUGAUUUAUUCAGAUAGGUUUUGUUUGAGUUUGAUUUGCUUUUCCUGAUGAUGACGAGGGUUUUAAGAUUUUUUUUUUUAAACUUUAAGAAAAUGACUCAAGGGGUAGUUAUAGAUAUUUGGCCUGAUUUUAAUAGGCGUAGGGAAUGAGCUCCAGAGGUCAAUAAACCCCUCCAAAAUGAUGAAUGAUUGAGUACCUGUGAUGAUGAUAGUGAUUACCGGAGCAAUUAAACAGUUUGAUUAAAUGAGCCAUCAUAACAAUGAUGUCUGCGGGAAAUCAGCCCUCACAUAUAAAGAAAGAUAGUGUGGAGGGCUGACAAACGCCAGUGGGCAUUCCUGCGUGUUCCGAUAGCGCCGAGCCCUGCAGAGCAGGGCUCUAUUUACAAUUACGGGGGGAAUACGGAGAAAAGUCCCUCUCCUACUUUUAGCUAGAGUUGCACCCUGCUUAAAACCCGCCAGAAGCCGGAGAGCAGACCCGUGUUUUUUUUCCUAGAGGAUCUCCUCCAAGAUUAAAGCUAGUCCUAAGAGCAACCGAAUUGCUGUGACUGACUUUCACGGGACUGUAAAGAGAGGGAUAUGUGUGUUUAAAGAGAUGCUGAAGAGAUUUCUGAGUUCACGGGGAAGAAGGAAAGGUUGGUUUGGGGAACGGCAGCGCGCCUGGCAGGAGAUGGUUUCCUCAGUGUGUGGCAAGUGUUUCUUCAAGAAAUUCAUCAGCCCUUCUACAAUUACUUCGAGCUCCGAGGGAAGAGAGCUGCCAUCACUUUCUCACAUCCCAAGGUGUUGCAUGGAGGAGAGAAGAAAAGGCUGGCGCAUUUAAUUAUAGGGGGGGAAGGGGGGGCUGGGGGGAACGGGGGCUGUAGAAAGCCGUCCCAAGGCUGUACCUGGAAAAGAAAAACCUGCAAGGGUAUAUUUGGGAGACGUGUGCCAUUUAGAGAUGGGGAAAAGUACCCCAUCUUGUGCAGUAAUUAGUCUGAACAAUAAACAUAAUUGGAAUAAAAUCA
rnacentral:lncRNA from 1 species